UCACGUUUCCCCUCAGGACCCCCCUCACCGUUCCCCUCAGGACCCCCCUAAGGUUCCCCCUCACCUUUCCCCUCACCUUUCCCCUCAGGACCUCCCUCACGUUUCCCCUCACCUUUCCCCACAGGUUUCUCCUCACCUUUCCCCUCAGCUUUCCCCUCAGAACCCCCCUGACCUUUCCCCUCAGGAUCUCUCCUCCGCAGCUGACCCUGACGCAGUGACGCUUUCCCGCCAGCUGCGGGCGCUGUUGCGCACGCGCCCCUCGGGGCUCUCGCUGUUCCAGCUGCGCGCCGCUUACAGCGCCGCCUACCGCCGCCCUUUACCCAUCGGCGCCGCCGCUUCCGCCCGACUGCGCCUGCGCCAACUGCCCGGAGCUCCUCUGCGCCUGCGCGGUUGCGGCGUGCAGAUGCGCGUGCUGCCCCCUAGCGGCGGGGAGGACUCGGAGGAGCAGGGGGACAUGGAGGGGGGGUGGCAGGGGGAGGGGACCCCCAGGGCGGCCUCACCCAAUCGCGACAGGACCCCCCCGGCGACACCCAGGGUGGGGACCCCCAGAGUGUCCCCAGCCUGUGGGACCCCGCUCCUUGAGGUGUCCCCGGUUUCAGUCACCCCCAAGGUGGGGACACCCGAAUUGUCCCCAAAUCCUGUCACGAUCCCAAAAGUGUCCCCAAAUCCUGUCACGACCCCCAGAGUGUCCCCAAAUCCUGUCACGACCCCCAGAGUGUCCCCAAAUCGUGUCACGACCCCCAGAGUGUCCCCGAAUCCUGUUACGA
rnacentral:lncRNA from 1 species